GCAUAUCAAUAAGCGGAGGAAAAGAAACCAACAGGGAUUACCUCAGUAACGGCGAAGUGAAGCGGUAACAGCUCAAAUUUGAAAUCUGGCCUCACGGUCCGAGUUGUAAUUUGUAGAGGAUGCUUCGAGCAUGGUCUGGCCUAAGUUCCUUGGAACAGGACGUCAUAGAGGGUGAGAAUCCCGUAUGCGGUCAGGUGCCUACGCUCAUGUGAAGCUCCUUCGACGAGUCGAGUUGUUUGGGAAUGCAGCUCAAAAUGGGUGGUAAAUUUCAUCUAAAGCUAAAUAUUGGCCAGAGACCGAUAGCGCACAAGUAGAGUGAUCGAAAGAUGAAAAGCACUUUGGAAAGAGAGUUAAACAGUACGUGAAAUUGUUGAAAGGGAAGCGCUUGCAACCAGACUUGCGCGCGGCCGAUCAUCCGGUGUUCUCACCGGUGCACUCGGCCGUGCUCAGGCCAGCAUCGGUUUUGGCGGCUGGAUAAAGGCCCUAGGAAUGUAGCUCCUCUCGGGGAGUGUUAUAGCCUAGGGUGCAAUGCAGCCUGCUGGGACCGAGGACCGCGCUUCGGCUAGGAUGCUGGCGUAAUGGUUGUAAGCGGCCCGUCUUGAAACACGGACCAAGGAGUCUAACAUCUAUGCGAGUGUUUGGGUGUCAAACCCAUACGCGUAAUGAAAGUGAACGGAGGUGAGAACCCUUAAGGGUGCAUCAUCGACCGAUCCUGAUGUCUUCGGAAGGAUUUGAGUAAGAGCAUAGCUGUUGGGACCCGAAAGAUGGUGAACUAUGCCUGAAUAGGGUGAAGCCAGAGGAAACUCUGGUGGAGGCUCGCAGCGGUUCUGACGUGCAAAUCGAUCGUCAAAUUUGGGUAUAGGGGCGAAAGACUAAUCGAACCAUCUAGUAGCUGUUCUGC
rnacentral:rRNA from 1 species